rnacentral:tRNA from 4 species
GCGCUCGUAGCUCAGCUGGAUAGAGUACCUGGCUACGAACCAGGCGGUCAGAGGUUCGAAUCCUCUCGAGCG